rnacentral:rRNA from 1 species
AACGAACGCUGGCGGCAGGCCUAACACAUGCAAGUCGAACGCUCCGCAAGGGGAGUGGCGCACGGGUGAGUAACACGUGGGAACCUACCUUCUGGUACGGAACAACCAAGGGAAACUUUGGCUAAGACCGUAUACGACCUCCGGGUGAAAGAUUGAUCGCCGGAAGAGGGGCCCGCGUCCGAUUAGGUAGUUGGUGAGGUAACGGCUCACCAAGCCUUCGAUCGGUAGCUGGUCUGAGAGGAUGACCAGCCACACUGGGACUGAGACACGGCCCAGACUCCUACGGGAGGCAGCAGUGGGGAAUAUUGGACAAUGGGCGCAAGCCUGAUCCAGCGAUGCCGCGUGUGUGAAGAAGGCCUGCGGGUUGUAAAGCACUUUCAGUAGGGAAGAAAACCCGAAGUGCUAAUAAUCACUCGGUCUUGACGUUACUUAC